rnacentral:pre_miRNA from 1 species
UCAGUAACAAGAAUUUGUCCCUUUGUGUCUUAAGUAUCUAAGGAGAAUUUUUGUUGCUUAGU